rnacentral:rRNA from 1 species
AGAGUUUGAUCCUGGCUCAGAUUGAACGCUGGCGGUAUGCUUAACACAUGCAAGUCGAACGGUAGGUACUUCGGUACUGAGAGUGGCGGACGGGUGAGUAACGCGUAGGAAUCUGCCUGUUAGUGGGGGACAACUUGGGGAAACUCAAGCUAAUACCGCAUACGCCCUACGGGGGAAAGCGGGGGACCUUCGGGCCUCGCGCUAACAGAUGAGCCUGCGUUGGAUUAGCUAGUUGGUGGGGUAAAGGCCUACCAAGGCGACGAUCCAUAGCUGGUCUGAGAGGACGAUCAGCCACACUGGGACUGAGACACGGCCCAGACUCCUACGGGAGGCAGCAGUGGGGAAUAUUGGACAAUGGGCGCAAGCCUGAUCCAGCAAUACCGCGUGUGUGAAGAAGGCCUUCGGGUUGUAAAGCACUUUCAAUAGGGAGGAAUACCUUAAGGCUAAUACCCUUAAGACUGACAUUACCUAUACAAGAAGCACCGGCUAACUCCGUGCCAGCAGUCGCGGUAAUACGUAGGAUGCAAGCGUUAUCCGGAUUCACUGGGCGUAAAGUGUCGUGCAGGUGGUUUAUCGCAUCGUGCUUGAAAGCCCGGGGCUCAACCCCGGUGUUGGGUACGAGAUGGAUAGACUUGAGGGAGGUAGAGGAACGGGGAACUGACGGUGAAGCAGUGAAAUGCGUUGAUAUCGUCAGGAACACCAAAGGCGAAGGCACCGUUCUGGGCCUCUCCUGACACUCAGACACGAAAGCUAGGGGAGCGAAGCAGAUUAGAGACCUGCGUAGUCCUAGCCCUAAACGCAUGCCUGCUAGUUGCCCCGCGCAAGUGGGGUGACGUAAGCUAACGCGUUAAGCAGGCCGCCUGGGGAGUACGAUCGCAAGAUUAAAACUCAAAGGAAUUGACGGGGACCCGCACAACCGGUGGAGCGUGUGGUUCAAUUCGAGACAAAGCGAAGCACCUAACCAGGUCUUGACAUGGUACCGUUUUAUUCCGCUAGAAAUAGUGGAAGAUCCGCAAGGAUGGUAUCACAGGUGCUGCAUGGCUGUCGUCAGCUCGUGCCGUGGGGUGUUCCCUUAAGUGGGCUAACGAGCGCAACCCCUGUCCAAUGUUACAAGUGUCAUUGGAGACUGCUUGUGUCAAACACAGGAGGAAGGAAGGGACGACGUCAAGUCAGCACGGCCCUUAUGACCUGGGUCACACACACCCUACAAUGGCGAAUAACAACGGGAUGCUAAGCGGUAACGCUACGCAAAUCCAUUUAAAUUUCGCCUCAGUUCAGAUUGAGGUCUGCAACCCGACCUCAUGAAGUCGGAAUCGGUAGUAAUCGCGGAUCAGCAGGUCGCGGUGAAUACGUUCUCGGGUCUUGUACACACCGCCCGUCAAGCCAACAAAGUUGGGGGCGGCCGAAGAGCCCCGCAAGGGGAGCUAAGCCGAACUCAGCGAUGGGGACUAAGUCGUAACAAGGUAACC